rnacentral:rRNA from 1 species
UCGAGCGGACAGAUGGGAGCUUGCUCCCUGAUGUUAGCGGCGGACGGGUGAGUAACACGUGGGUAACCUGCCUGUAAGACUGGGAUAACUCCGGGAAACCGGGGCUAAUACCGGAUGCUUGUUUGAACCGCAUGGUUCAAACAUAAAAGGUGGCUUCGGCUACCACUUACAGAUGGACCCGCGGCGCAUUAGCUAGUUGGUGAGGUAAUGGCUCACCAAGGCAACGAUGCGUAGCCGACCUGAGAGGGUGAUCGGCCACACUGGGACUGAGACACGGCCCAGACUCCUACGGGAGGCAGCAGUAGGGAAUCUUCCGCAAUGGACGAAAGUCUGACGGAGCAACGCCGCGUGAGUGAUGAAGGUUUUCGGAUCGUAAAGCUCUGUUGUUAGGGAAGAACAAGUACCGUUCGAAUAGGGCGGUACCUUGACGGUACCUAACCAGAAAGCCACGGCUAACUACGUGCCAGCAGCCGCGGUAAUACGUAGGUGGCAAGCGUUGUCCGGAAUUAUUGGGCGUAAAGGGCUCGCAGGCGGUUUCUUAAGUCUGAUGUGAAAGCCCCCGGCUCAACCGGGGAGGGUCAUUGGAAACUGGGGAACUUGAGUGCAGAAGAGGAGAGUGGAAUUCCACGUGUAGCGGUGAAAUGCGUAGAGAUGUGGAGGAACACCAGUGGCGAAGGCGACUCUCUGGUCUGUAACUGACGCUGAGGAGCGAAAGCGUGGGGAGCGAACAGGAUUAGAUACCCUGGUAGUCCACGCCGUAAACGAUGAGUGCUAAGUGUUAGGGGGUUUCCGCCCCUUAGUGCUGCAGCUAACGCAUUAAGCACUCCGCCUGGGGAGUACGGUCGCAAGACUG